GACGAACGCUGGCGGCGUGCCUAAUACAUGCAAGUCGAACGCAGUGGGGACGGGUGAGUAACAAGUGGGUAACCUCCCAUCAGAGGGGAUAACACUUGGAAACAGGUGCUAAAACGAUAUUGAUGGAUGGAGCAGCUGGGCAUUAGCUAGUUGGUGAGGUAACGGCUCACCAAGGCUACGAUGCAUAUCCGACCUGAGAGGGUGAUCGGCCACACUGGGACGGAGACACGGCCCAGACUCCUAAGGGAGGCAGCAGUAGGGAAUCUUCGGCAAUGGACGAAAGUCUGACCUAGCAACGCCGCGUGAGUGAAGAAGGUUUUCGGGUCGUAAAACUCUGUUGUUAGGGAGGCGGUAUCUAACCAGAAAGCCACGGCUAACUACGUGCCAGCAGCCGCGGUAAUAC
rnacentral:rRNA from 1 species